AGGAGGGUUUGAUCAUGGCUCAGGACGAACGUUGGCGGCGUGGAUUAGGCAUGCAAGUCGAACGAGAAAGGUUUCUUCGGAAACCAAGUACAGUGGCGAACGGGUGAGUAAUGCAUGGAUAACCUACCCUUGAGAUGGGGACAACUUCUCGAAAGGGGAGCUAAUACCCAAUAACGUCCAGUGCCUCAGGGUGCUGGACCAAAGAUGGCCUCUGAUUCAAGCUUUCGCUCAGGGAGGGGUUCAUGUCCCUAUUAGCUUGUUGGUGAGGUAACGGCUCACCAAGGCUCUGAUGGGUAGCCGGCCUGAGAGGGUGUCCGGCCACACUGGGACUGAGACACUGCCCGGACUCCUACGGGAGGCUGCAGUCGAGAAUCUUCCGCAAUGCGCGCAAGCGUGACGGAACC
rnacentral:rRNA from 1 species